rnacentral:rRNA from 1 species
CCUACGGGUGGCAGCAGUGAGGAAUAUUGGUCAAUGGCCGUAAGGCUGAACCAGCCAAGUAGCGUGAGGGAUGACUGCCCUAUGGGUUGUAAACUUCUUUUAUGAGGGGAUAAAGCGGUCCACGUGUGCCUGUUUGCAUGUACUUUAUGAAUAAGGAUCGGCUAACUCCGUGCCAGCAGCCGCGGUAAUACGGAGGAUCCGAGCGUUAUCCGGAUUUAUUGGGUUUAAAGGGAGCGUAGGCGGGUGGUUAAGUGAGCUGUGAAAUUUUGGGGCUCAACCGUGAGAUUGCGACGGAUACUGGCAGCCUUGAGUGCGGGGGAGGUAGGCGGAAUUCGUGGUGUAGCGGUGAAAUGCUUAGAUAUCACGAAGAACCCCGAUUGCGAAGGCAGCCUACCGCAGCGUUACUGACGCUGAGGCUCGAAAGCGCGGGUAUCAAACAGGAUUAGAUACCCCAGUAGUC